rnacentral:rRNA from 1 species
UACAGAGGGGGCGAGCGUUGUUCGGAAUUACUGGGCGUAAAGGGCGCGUAGGCGGCCCGCUAAGUCUAACGUGAAAUCCCCAGGCUCAACCUGGGAACUGCAUCCGAUACUGGAUGGCUUGAAUCCGGGAGAGGGAUGCAGAAUUCCAGGUGUAGCGGUGAAAUGCGUAGAUAUCUGGAGGAAUACCGGUGGCGAAGGCGGCAUCCUGGACCGGCAUUGACGCUGAUGAGCGAAAGCUAGGGGAGCAAACGGG